ACUUGAUAUCAUGUAGGAGAUCCAUAUCCUGCAAAACUGGGCAUGAGUAGAAAUGACUUUCAACUCCAGAGCACAUGUCCUUUUAAUUCUGGAAGGCCUGAGUUUGCUGACCUGCAGUGCUUGUUUCAGAGCCUGUUGUUAAUGCAUUUUUGGACAGGAGCUGAGGUCACAAGAUUCUGAUCAGUUUUCAUGGAAGCAUCUACCUAACUUCACAUUGACACUUUUUUAGUGAAACCUAGCAAAUCAUAACUUUUGAGAGUCUUUUUAGUCCCAGUCAGAGCUUUUUCUCUGGAGGAAAAAAAUAUUCCAUGAGUGAUUAUGUAGAAACAAACUCAGCCUGAGGACUUCUGAAACUUUCUGUUUCAGGGAAGAACUUUAGGUGCUUAGGUCAAUUAUUACUGUAGCUGAGCUUUCAGAUUCCUUUCAGGCAGAUCUAUAUUCUUGUUACUAAAAUCAAAGAUACUCACUUUGGUGCCAGGGAGUUUGAAAUGCUUGUGUAAAUCAUUAACAUGAACCAUUUAUUCUGACCACAGCUACAUGGUCUAAAGUUGAUAUGUGGAAUUUGUUAAUCAUUACUCGUCAACUACUUGCUGCACAUCAGAAGGUGAUUCCAAAAGCUCCUGCCAACUUUUCAGAGAAAAUGCAGGUGUGGGCUGUUGAACUGGGGCCAAUGAGAAUUCGCCAAACUGGCAGCAAUUGCUUGUGGCAUCGAUGGACAAAGGAAGAGAAAAUGCUUAUUCCAAAGUUUAACAUCUCUGUAAAGUUUCCUGCAUGCUGCUGAGUCAGUUAAAAUGCACCCAAAUAAAGGUAUCUUUUUU